rnacentral:tRNA from 1 species
GGGUCUGUAGCUCAGCUGGUUAGAGCGCACCCCUGAUAAGGGUGAGGUCGGUGGUUCGAGUCCACCCUGACCCACCA